rnacentral:rRNA from 1 species
AUUGAACGCUGGCGGCAGGCCUAACACAUGCAAGUCGAACGAGUGGCGGACGGGUGAGUAAUGUAUCGGAACGUGCCCAGUAGCGGGGGAUCACUACUGGAAACGGUAGCUAAUACCGCAUACCAUCGGAUGUGCCCAGAUGUGAAUAGCGAGUAGGUGGGGUAACGGCUCCCCUAGGCGACGAUCCCUAGCUGGUCUGAGAGGAUGACCAGCCACGCGGGAACGGAGACACGGUCCAUACUCCUACGGGAGGCAGCAGUGGGGAAUAUGGCACAAUGGGCGCAAGCCUGAUGCAGCCAUGCCGCGUGUAUGAAGAAGGCCUUCGGGUUGUAAAGUACUUUCAGCGAGGAGGCGUUACUCGCAGAAGAAGCACCGGCUAACUCCGUGCCAGCAGCCGCGGUAAUAC